UAAUACGUAAGUGGCGAGCGUUAUCCGGAAUCACUGGGCGUAAAGCGUGCGUAGGCGGUGCAGUAAGUUGGAAUUGAAAGCCCGGGGCUCAACUCCGGACCCGGUUCCAAAACUAUUGUACUAGAGCAGAUCAGAGGACAGCGGAAUUCCCGGUGUAGCGGUAAUAUGCGUAGAUAUCGGGAGGAACACCAGUGGCGUAGGCGGCUGUCUGGGGUCUUGCUGACGCUGAGGCACGAAAGCCAGGGGAGCGAACGGGAUUAGAUACCCCGGUAGUCCUGGCCAUAAACGAUGAACACUAGGUGUAGGAGGCUUCGACCCCUUCUGCGCCGCCGCUAACGCAUUAAGUGUUCCGCCUGGGGAGUACGGCCGCAAGGUUA
rnacentral:rRNA from 1 species